AUGCGGCGGCCAGGAGGAGGAGGAAAGGGAAGAGAGUUGAGCCCUCUCAAGGCGUCCUCUCGUCUCCCUUCAACUGUGGGGCGAGUUCUGGAAGCGCCCUCUUCUCUCGCUUCUGCGGCUGAGGGGAAAAAGGAAAGGGCCUCUCCCUUCUGUCCCUUCAGCUGUGGAGAAGGCGCCAAGGGGACUCGCGUGUGCCUCCUCUCCAGUCAGUCCUUCUUUCGGCUGCGGGACAGGGUUUUUCUCGUCCGUUUCUUCUGUCCCUUCACAUGUGGAGAAGGCGCCAAAGGGGCUCGCGUGUUGCCUCAGCAAGUGCCUCCUCUCCAGUGCCAAUCUCCUCGCUUUCUCUUCGCUGUGGGACAGACUCGCGCGGGCUUUUCCUCUCCCUUCUCCGCUUCGUCCGUCUUUUUUGUCCCUUCAGCUGUGGAGAAGGCGCCAAAGGACUCGCGAGUGCCUCAACAGUCGGUCCCAAUCUCUUCGCGCGCUUUCUCUCGGCUGCGGGACAGGCUUUUCCUCUCCCUUCUCCGCCUCGUCCGUCUCUUUUGUCCCUUCAGCUGUGGAGAAGGCGACAAAGGGACUCGCGAGGGCUCAACAAUCAGUCCCAGACUCCUUGCUCUCUUUCUCUCGGUUCUGGAACAGGACUUUCCGUGGCUACUUCUCCCCUCACUUCUUUAUGCUCCUUCAGUUGCGCAGAAGGGGGCUCCUCCUCUUCAGGAGGCCCUUUUCUGUCCCCUUGGCUCGCGUGGGGUGAGGUCCCUUCACAGGUGCCUCCUCCUCCUCCUUUUUCUCUCGCUGUCUUUCUCUCCAGUGGAAGAGGUCCCGCUUCAAGGUUCUUCCGCCUCCUGAGUCCUCGCCUCUGGCCCUGGGCGCGGAAAAGGCGCCAAAAGGAUUCGCGCGGGCGGCGCUCCUCCCUCUCCCUCUUCUGUGGCCUGAGCUGCGGGACAAAGCAGCUUCCUCACGGCUUCCUCUUCCCCUCUCGCCUCUCUCCUUUAUGUGCCCCGAGCUGCGGGACAGAGAAUGUGUCCCUUUCACGGCUUCCUCCUUCCCUCCUCCCCCGAUCUCUUCUCUUGCUUGGCUGUCGGAAGAAGGACCUUUAGGGAGGCAGAAAGACGCGGCUUGAUUGGAAGAGAGGGCACGGCUUCGAUACAUUAUUAAACAGCCCGGGGGAGGGAGGGCGCGGAAGGGCGGGAAAGGGGAGGGCAAGCCAGGUUCUCUACCCCUCCCUUUGAACCCCGCCUAACCCCCCCCCCCCUUGUUCCUUGGUCCUCGCACUUCGCAAGUUGUAAAAGGGAGCGUUUUUG
rnacentral:lncRNA from 11 species